GCUCAUAUAGAUUAAUUAGAAAUUAUUAGGCUGUUAACCUUGGGAUGAACAUUUAUGGUUCUAUGUGCG
rnacentral:tRNA from 1 species